GUGUUUUUUGUAUAUAUAUAUAUAUAUAUACUAUACAAAAUUAAAUAUUUAUCACAUGAGAAAUUCAAUUCACAAAAGCACUAUUGAAAUUUUUUUUCCUAUUAAAAUCCAGACAUAUUUUGCAAACUUAGUUUACAUUCGUUUUGAAAACAACAAAUAAAUGAUAAUAAAUGACAAAUGAAACAAAAUGCUUGUAACCAAGGCGUCCGGACCUAGUUGCAUGUUUGGACAUGGGAUGGAUUACAGUGGAAGGACUCCUGCAUAGAAGUAACCCCGUCCCGUUGGAAUCAAAGACGAGGUUUAUCUACGUGGUUAGGAUAGAAGAACCUGUCUCAAAGAAAGAUUGUGUCCUGAGUGAGCUCAAAAGGAAUAAAUUCAACUUCUUCCUAUUUAUUUAUAAAUUAUUCCAAGUAAAUGGAGUU